GCCCUGAUGGUCUAGCGGUAUGAUUCUCCCUUAGGGUUGUCUUAAGAUAAUCCCAGAUUGGGAGAGGUCCCAGGUUCGAUCCCUGGUUAGGGCC